rnacentral:lncRNA from 1 species
ACUGGGGACUUCUUAGAUGGUGAGCUGACUCAACAGGCUUCUUCAGAGGUCCCAUUCAGGAACUCUCCACAGCCCAUCUGUAGCCGUAAGUUAUCUGCAAGUUACUCAGGAAAUACAAGGAUGCUCAUCAUGAAAAGACAUUUCUCCCAAGCUCUCUUCCUUUGGUUUCCAUCCAUACGGAGACUGGGCCUGAGUGUGGAAACUAUCUCCAUCAGCUUUCUGUUCUUGAAUACUCUUAUGAGUUUGCUUGUUUUGGGGUUUGCUUAUUUGAAACUUAAGUUGCUAUUACGAGCGUUUCAAUGGUGAUGAUGAUGAUGAAUAUAAGUUUAAAAUAAAACAAAGCAGAAUAAACAAAAUAACACACUGGUAACCUGCUUGUUCUGUA